rnacentral:rRNA from 1 species
AGAGUUUGAUCCUGGCUCAGGAUGAACGCUGGCGGCGUGCUUAAUACAUGCAAGUCGAGCGAGGACCACCUGGUGGCAACACCGGGUGGCUCCUAGCGGCGAACGGGUGAGUAACACGUGGGCAACCUACCCCCGACUCUGGGAUAAGCCCGGGAAACUGGGUCUAAUACCGGAUACGAGCCUCCUCCGCAUGGUGGAGGUUGGAAAGGGUCUCCGGUCGGGGAUGGGCCCGCGGCCUAUCAGCUUGUUGGUGGGGUAACGGCCCACCAAGGCGACGACGGGUAGCCGGCCUGAGAGGGUGAACGGCCACACUGGGACUGAGACACGGCCCAGACUCCUACGGGAGGCAGCAGUAGGGAAUCUUGCGCAAUGGGCGAAAGCCUGACGCAGCGACGCCGCGUGCGGGACGAAGGCCUUCGGGUUGUAAACCGCUUUCAGCAGGGACGAAGCGAAAGUGACGGUACCUGCAGAAGAAGGUCCGGCCAACUACGUGCCAGCAGCCGCGGUAAUACGUAGGGACCGAGCGUUGUCCGGAUUCAUUGGGCGUAAAGAGCUCGUAGGCGGCCACUCAAGUCGAAUGUGAAACCUCGAGGCUUAACCUCGAGCCUGCAUUCGAUACUGGGCGGCUAGAGUCUGGUAGGGGGAUCUGGAAUUCCUGGUGUAGCGGUGGAAUGCGCAGAUAUCAGGAGGAACACCGGUGGCGAAGGCGGGAUCCUGGGCCAGUACUGACGCUGAGGAGCGAAAGCGUGGGGAGCAAACAGGAUUAGAUACCCUGGUAGUCCACGCCGUAAACGAUGGGCGCUAGGUGUGGGAGGUCAUCGACUCCUUCCGUGCCGCAGCUAACGCAUUAAGCGCCCCGCCUGGGGAGUACGGCCGCAAGGCUAAAACUCAA